ACGGAAGGCAGCAGUGGGGAAUAUUGGACAAUGGGCGAAAGCCUAAUCCAGCGACGCCGCGUGAGUGAAGAAGUAUUUCGGUAUGUAAAGCUCUAUCAGCAGGGAAGAUAAUGACGGUACCUGACUAAGAAGCCCCGGCUAACUACGUGCCAGCAGCCGCGGUAAUACGUAGGGGGCAAGCGUUAUCCGGAUUUACUGGGUGUAAAGGGAGCGUAGACGGUAUGGCAAGUCUGAUGUGAAAACCCAGGGCUCAACCCUGGGACUGCAUUGGAAACUGUCAAACUAGAGUGCAGGAGAGGUAAGUGGAAUUCCUAGUGUAGCGGUGAAAUGCGUAGAUAUUAGGAGGAACACCAGUGGCGAAGGCGGCUUACUGGACUGUAACUGACGUUGAGGCUCGAAAGCGUGGGGAGCAAACAGGAUUAGAUACCCUGGUA
rnacentral:rRNA from 1 species